rnacentral:rRNA from 1 species
UACGUAGGGUGCGAGCGUUGCCCGGAUUUAUUGGGCGUAAAGGGCGCGUAGGCGGCCACGCACGUCCGUUGUGAAAUCGCCCGGCUCAACUGGGCGGGGGUCAGCGGAUACGGUGUGGCUCGAGCAAGCUAGGGGGGCAAUGGAAUUCCCGGUGUAGUGGUGGAAUGCGUAGAUAUCGGGAGGAACACCAGUGGCGAAAGCACUCUGCUGGGGCCGACACUGACACUGAGAGACGAAAAGCUAGGGGGGAGCGAAUGGG